GAUGAACGCUGGCGGCGUGCCUAAUACAAGCAAGUCGAGCGAACAGACGAGGAGCUUGCUCCUCUGACGUUAGCGGCGGACGGGUGAGUAACACGUGGAUAACCUACCUAUAAGACUGGGAUAACUUCGGGAAACCGGAGCUAAUACCGGAUAACAUAUUGAACCGCAUGGUUCAAUAGUGAAAGACGGUUUUGCUGUCACUUAUAGAUGGAUCCGCGCCGCAUUAGCUAGUUGGUAAGGUAACGGCUUACCAAGGCGACGAUGCGUAGCCGACCUGAGAGGGUGAUCGGCCACACUGGAACUGAGACACGGUCCAGACUCCUACGGGAGGCAGCAGUAGGGAAUCUUCCGCAAUGGGCGAAAGCCUGACGGAGCAACGCCGCGUGAGUGAUGAAGGUCUUCGGAUCGUAAAACUCUGUUAUUAGGGAAGAACAAAUGUGUAAGUAACUAUGCACGUCUUGACGGUACCUAAUCAGAAAGCCACGGCUAACUACGUG
rnacentral:rRNA from 1 species